GUCCUCUUGAUAAUAUUUUGAGGUCUGGCCUGCUCACUGACAAGGUUUUGAAGAGCCGCGGUAUUUUGACCGUGCAAAGGUAGCAUAAUCAUUAGUCUCUUAAUUAGGGGCUGGAAUGAAUGGCUUGACGAGAAAUCAACUGUCUCUUAAUAAUUUUUAAAAUUUAACUUUUGAGUUAAAAGGCUUAAAUUUUUCUUUAGGACGAGAAGACCCUAUAGAGCUUAACAUUUUAUUUUUAUAUAGUUUUUAGUUAAUCUUUCUAUAUUUAAUGAUAAUGUUUUGUUGGGGUGACAUGAAGAAUAAUUAAACUCUUCAUUAUAAAAUCAUUGAUUUAUGUUUAUCAUGAUCCAUAAUUUAUGAUCAUAAGAUUAAGUUACCUUAGGGAUAACAGCGUAAUUGUUUUUGAGAGCUCAUAUCGACAAAGUAGAUUGCGACCUCGAUGUUGGAUUAAGAAAAAUUUUGGGUGCAGGAGCCCAAUAAUUAGGUCUGUUCGACCUUUAAAUUCUUACA
rnacentral:rRNA from 1 species